UGUGUGUGUCCCAUUCUAUGAUUUUCUCACUGAACCUGCAGUCAGGCUGGCAUCCAGCAAGCCUGAUUCAUCCUUCUGUCUCCACCUUCUACUCUCCACCACAGAGCUGUUCAUACAGCAAGAAAGCAUUUGGACACUCGACUUUUUAUAUGAGGGCAGAUGUCUGAACUAAGUUCCUCUUACGUGCAUAGCAAGGACUCCUAACCAAUGAGUCACCUCUCCAGCCAGAGAGCCGUUGCUUCAUUUGUGACUCCAGCUUCUAAGGAUCAUAGACUUUUGGCCUUGUGCUGACAAUGAGAUGAAGACUGGAGCAGUGAUCUAUGCCUAUUGCUGCCAAAUCCAAAUCAACACUUGGAAUAUUACUUGUGUUGGCAAGACACAUCCUGGACCAUUACUGCAACUCAAAAAACAUUUAGAAUAGUAGAUAAAGGGAUCACUGUGGAAGAGUAGAAAUGGAGGAAGAAUUCAACAUCACCUGCACAAGGAAACACUCACUAACCGUGGCAUAUCCCUUUGAACGAUUGGUCUCCAGAUGGUGUUGAUGUUUGGGGAGACUGUGAAACCUUAUGGAAGUGGAACCUGGCUGGCUGAGUGAACUUUUGAAGUUAUAGUGAAGUCUUGGUUCUGGCAUUGCUCUCUCUGAUUCCUGAUGUGACAUGGCAUUAACAUGUCAUCUUGCAAGCUCCUCUCACUACAGACGGAGCCACUGUAACUACCGUGUCUUCCUCUCCAUGAUGGAUUGUACCUUCUAAGGGUGAAGACCAUGGAGACCAGGGUCAUCUGCCUAAUUAUACAAAGGGGGCUCUGAUGGGGAAUGUACUGUUUGUUUAUCUUAUUGAUUGUUAAAUAAAGUUCUGUUUGGCCAAUGAGACAGCAAGUUAGACAGGACUAGGAGUCAAAGAGGAUUCCGGGAAAUGUAGUAGAGAAGUGGUGAUCCAGGCCGGAAGUGACAUAGCAAGGAGAUUCAUAUAAGCAAGGAGAAACAGGAAGUGUCCUUUUUCCCCUGCGCUCUUCCGGCAGGGAGGGACGCCAAUAAGGCGUCUGAUAAGAUAAGUCUUAUAAAAUAUAUAGAUUUAUGAUAAUUAAGACUGAGCUAACAGAUGAGAAUCCUAGUCAUUGGCCAAGCAGCAUUGUACCUAAUACAAAUCUCUCUGU
rnacentral:lncRNA from 1 species